rnacentral:tRNA from 1 species
UCCCUGGUGGUCCAGUGAUUGGGACUCUGCCCUUCCAUUGCAGGGUCACAGGUUCAAUCCCUGACUGGGGAA